rnacentral:rRNA from 1 species
CCUACGGGUGGCAGCAGUGAGGAAUAUUGGUCAAUGGACGGAAGUCUGAACCAGCCAUGCCGCGUGCAGGAAGACGGCUCUAUGAGUUGUAAACUGCUUUUGUACAAGGGUAAACCUGAAUACGUGUAUUCAGCUGAAAGUACUGUACGAAUAAGGAUCGGCUAACUCCGUGCCAGCAGCCGCGGUAAUACGGAGGAUCCAAGCGUUAUCCGGAUUUAUUGGGUUUAAAGGGAGCGUAGGCCGGUCUUUAAGCGUGCCGUGAAAGUUUGUGGCUCAACCAUGAGAGUGCGGCGCGAACUGGAGACCUUGAGUGCGCGGAAGGCAGGCGGAAUUCGUGGUGUAGCGGUGAAAUGCUUAGAUAUCACGAAGAACCCCGAUUGCGAAGGCAGCUUACUAAACUGUGACUGACAUUGAUGCUCGAAAGUGUGGGUAUCAAACAGGAUUAGAUACCCGAGUAGUC